rnacentral:rRNA from 1 species
GACGAACGCUGGCGGCGUGCUUAACACAUGCAAGUCGAGCGGAAAGGCCACUUCGGUGGUACUCGAGCGGCGAACGGGUGAGUAACACGUGAGUAAUCUGCCCCUGGCUUUGGGAUAGCCACCGGAAACGGUGAUUAAUACCGGAUACGACCACUUCUCGCAUGGGAUGGUGGUGGAAAGUUUUUUCGGCCAGGGAUGUGCUCGCGGCCUAUCAGCUUGAUGGUGAGGUAAUGGCUCACCAUGGCUUCGACGGGUAGCCGGCCUGAGAGGGUGACCGGUCACACUGGGACUGAGACACUGCCCAGACUCCUACGGGAGGCAGCAGUGGGGAAUAUUGGACAAUGGGCGGAAGCCUGAUCCAGCAACGCCGCGUGAGGGAUGACUGCCUUCGGGUUGUAAACCUCUUUCAGCAGGGACGAAGCGCAAGUGACGGUACCUGCAGAAGAAGCACCGGCCAACUACGUGCCAGCCGCCGCGGUAA